rnacentral:rRNA from 1 species
CCUACGGGGGGCAGCAGUGGGGAAUAUUGCACAAUGGGGGAAACCCUGAUGCAGCGACGCCGCGUGAGCGAUGAAGUAUUUCGGUAUGUAAAGCUCUAUCAGCAGGGAAGAAGAUGACGGUACCUGACUAAGAAGCCCCGGCUAACUACGUGCCAGCAGCCGCGGUAAGACGUAGGGGGCAAGCGUUAUCCGGAUUUACUGGGUGUAAAGGGAGCGUAGACGGCGUGUCAAGCCAGAUGUGAAAGCCCCGGGCUCAACCCCGGGACUGCAUUUGGAACUGUGUGGCUGGAGUGUCGGAGAGGCAGGCAGAAUUCCUGGUGUAGCGGUGAAAUGCGUAGAGAUCAGGAGGAACACCAGUGGCGAAGGCGGCCUGCUGGACGAUGACUGACGUUGAGGCGCGAAAGCGUGGGGAGCAAACAGGAUUAGAUACCCCUGUAGUC